AAUCAACGCUGGCGGCGUGCCUCAGACAUGCAAGUCGAACGAGAAAGUUUCCUUCGGGGGAAUGAGUAAAGUGGCGCACGGGUGAGUAACACGUAGGUAAUCUACCUUCGGGUGGGGAAUAACCCAGGGAAACUUGGGCUAACACCGCAUAAUGCAGCGGCACCACAUGGUGACAGUUGUUAAAGCGGGGGAUUUUAGGACCUCGCGCCUGAAGAGGAGCCUGGCGGCGGAUUAGCUAGUUGGAAGGUAACGGCUUACCAAGGCGACGAUCCGUAACCGGCCUGAGAGGGGCGGUCGGUCACACUGACGCUGACAUACGGGUCAGACUCCUACGGGAGGCAGCA
rnacentral:rRNA from 1 species